rnacentral:rRNA from 1 species
UGGCUCAGGAUGAACGCUGGCGGCGUGCUUAACACAUGCAAGUCGAACGAUGAACCUCACUUGUGGGGGGAUUAGUGGCGAACGGGUGAGUAACACGUGAGUAACCUGCCCUUAACUCUGGGAUAAGCCUGGGAAACUGGGUCUAAUACCGGAUAUGACUUCCCAUCGCAUGGUGGGGGGUGGAAAGCUUUUUGUGGUUUUGGAUGGACUCGCGGCCUAUCAGCUUGUUGGUGAGGUAAUGGCUCACCAAGGCGACGACGGGUAGCCGGCCUGAGAGGGUGACCGGCCACACUGGGACUGAGACACGGCCCAGACUCCUACGGGAGGCAGCAGUGGGGAAUAUUGCACAAUGGGCGCAAGCCUGAUGCAGCGACGCCGCGUGAGGGAUGACGGCCUUCGGGUUGUAAACCUCUUUCAGUAGGGAAGAAGCGAAAGUGACGGUACCUGCAGAAGAAGCGCCGGC